UACGUAGGGGGCAAGCGUUAUCCGGAUUUACUGGGUGUAAAGGGAGCGUAGACAGUUAUGCAAGUCAGAUGUGAAAACUCAGGGCUCAACCCUGAGCCUGCAUUUGAAACUGUGUUUCUUGAGUGCUGGAGAGGCAAUCGGAAUUCCGUGUGUAGCGGUGAAAUGCGUAGAUAUACGGAGGAACACCAGUGGCGAAGGCGGAUUGCUGGACAGUAACUGACGCUGAGGCGCGAAAGCGUGGGGAGCAAACAGG
rnacentral:rRNA from 1 species